UACAGAGGUCCCAAGCGUUGUUCGGAUUCGCUGGGCGUAAAGGGUGCGUAGGUGGUUGGGUAAGUCUGAUGUGAAAUCUCCGGGCUCAACCCGGAAAUGGCAUUGGAUACUAUUCGGCUAGAGGUUUGGAGGGGGGACUGGAAUUCUCGGUGUAGCAGUGAAAUGCGUAGAUAUCGAGAGGAACACCAAUGGCGAAGGCAGCUCGCUGGGACGUGACUGACGCUGGGACGCGAAAGCGUGGGGAGCGAACAGG
rnacentral:rRNA from 1 species